GACGAACGCUGGCGGCGUGCUUAACACAUGCAAGUCGAACGGAAAGGCCCUGCUUUUGUGGGGUGCUCGAGUGGCGAACGGGUGAGUAACACGUGAGUAACCUGCCCUUGACUUUGGGAUAACUUCAGGAAACUGGGGCUAAUACCGGAUAGGAGCUCCUGCUGCAUGGUGGGGGUUGGAAAGUUUCGGCGGUUGGGGAUGGACUCGCGGCUUAUCAGCUUGUUGGUGGGGUAGUGGCUUACCAAGGCUUUGACGGGUAGCCGGCCUGAGAGGGUGACCGGCCACAUUGGGACUGAGAUACGGCCCAGACUCCUACGGGAGGCAGCAGUGGGGAAUAUUGCACAAUGGGCGGAAGCCUGAUGCAGCAACGCCGCGUGCGGGAUGACGGCCUUCGGGUUGUAAACCGCUUUCGCCUGUGACGAAGCGUGAGUGACGGUAAUGGGUAAAGAAGCACCGGCUAACUACGUGCCAGCAGCCGCGGUGAUACGUAGGGUGCGAGCGUUGUCCGGAUUUAUUGGGCGUAAAGGGCUCGUAGGUGGUUGAUCGCGUCGGAAGUGUAAUCUUGGGGCUUAACCCUGAGCGUGCUUUCGAUACGGGUUGACUUGAGGAAGGUAGGGGAGAAUGGAAUCCCUGGUGGAGCGGUGGAAUGCGCAGAUAUCAGGAGGAACACCAGUGGCGAAGGCGGUUCUCUGGGCCUUUCCUGACGCUGAGGAGCGAAAGCGUGGGGAGCGAACAGGCUUAGAUACCCUGGUAGUCCACGCUGUAAACGGUGGGUACUAGGUGUGGGGUCCAUUCCACGGGUUCCGUGCCGUAGCUAACGCUUUAAGUACCCCGCCUGGGGAGUACGGCCGCAAGGCUAAAACUCAAAGGAAUUGACGGGGCCCCGCACAAGCGGCGGAGCAUGCGGAUUAAUUCGAUGCAACGCGUAGAACCUUACCUGGGUUUGACAUGGAUCGGGAGCGCUCAGAGAUGGGUGUGCCUCUUUUGGGGUCGGUUCACAGGUGGUGCAUGGCUGUCGUCAGCUCGUGUCGUGAGAUGUUGGGUUAAGUCCCGCAACGAGCGCAACCCUUGUUCACUGUUGCCAGCACGUUAUGGUGGGGACUCAGUGGAGACCGCCGGGGUCAACUCGGAGGAAGGUGGGGAUGACGUCAAGUCAUCAUGCCCCUUAUGUCCAGGGCUUCACGCAUGCUACAAUGGCUGGUACAGAGAGUGGCGAGCCUGUGAGGGUGAGCGAAUCUCGGAAAGCCGGUCUCAGUUCGGAUUGGGGUCUGCAACUCGACCUCAUGAAGUCGGAGUCGCUAGUAAUCGCAGAUCAGCAACGCUGCGGUGAAUACGUUCCCGGGGCU
rnacentral:rRNA from 1 species